ACACUUCUGGUUUUUCUUUUCUUUAUAGUUAAACUACAAUAUAUACAGCGGUUAGGACUGGGAAACUGCUUUCUUCAAGACGCUGAAGGCAACGAGCAUAAGCAGUGAUAUCAUAAUCUUCUUUGAAGCAAGAAUCCGCAAGUUCACCUUCAUGCCAUGGUCUCUCAUGAGCUUCACUGUUGCCCUAAUUACUGAAAUAAGCCAGAAUACAACGGACAAGAACACCACUUUCAUUGUGUCUGCAGGUCCGUUCACACUUCUUGUGCCUCCCGACACCUCGAUGUAGGACUGUUUUUACCAAAAUUUGCGGGUUAAAAGCCAAGCCUAUUUAAUUUCUAUAACAAUGGAGUAUGUGUUUUUAUGUAUGAAUAUUUAGUAGAUCGUAUAGAUAAAUAUCGAAAAGAAAAUCAAAGGCAAGAACACAAACAAUUUUGGUGACGCGGAAAACCCCUUGUAAAAGGUUAAAAACCGCGGGUGGGAAUGUCCCAGCCAAAUAUCCACUAUAAUGAUGUAACAUCAGCUUACAAGUAUGAGAAAUACAUGAUACAAGUACAUAAAUACACAGACGUCGGCUUCAGAAGUAGUUCAUGUCCGUCAGCAAUAUGCACCCGUUGGCAGCAGGUUAACCUUGACGUUGCACCCGUCGGCAGAAUGAUUUCGGGGAGAUGAAGAUGUAGAGCUCCCUUGAUAGAAGAUGAAGAAGCUUAGCUAUCAUAUGUUAAUGUAUGUAUAUGUACGUGUACUGAUUUGUAUGAUCUUAAGCUUGGUUGAUGCUUUAUGAGUGAUAUGGGGUAGAAGAUGAAGUUGUGGGCAUGUAGAAGUGUGUAGAUGAUAUGUAUCAGUUAUGUACCUCUCUUUUUCAUGAGUAUUUAUACCCCCUCAACACUUAUGCACGUUCCUAGGUUGUUUCUCCACGUUCUCCACUUACUCCUAUAGUUUAGGGAUAAAGAAUAACCUCCUCCUAACUCUUAGGAUCGUUACAAGACUUAUUCUUCAUGCUGUUACGUUCAUGUCGAGUACCUUCACGUCAUGUCGAGUAUCUUCACGUCAUGUCUUAGCCAAGACGUCGAGCAUCAGCUUUGUGUGUAGCUUAAAUAUAUCUUUGGAGAAUGAUUAAUUAGCUUGUAAUUUGAUGAUAUAAUCACUCCCCUAACUCCCAUCAAGAUGUGGCUAUAUUGUAGGAUUAUGAUAAGGUAGUUAUUAUCCUUAUCUCCUAUUUUCCCUCCAUGUGCAUGUUGAGUUUCCUAAAUUAGUGUCACUUAUCCAUUCUCCAAUUUGAAUAAUCUCCUAAAAAGGUGGGUAGUUGAGACUUAGUCUCUUGCCCUAUCAGCCUGCACACGUCGUGUCGUCGGUACUUCAUGUCGUGUCAGUACACUUCCCGUCAUGGCCUGACGCCUGUAAAAUCUGGGUACAAACAAUAGCCCCUAAUUUUAUUGGGUGGAGGCAUGCAGCCAAUGAAAUUACUUCUUGUACACUCCGUUUUCCUCAAACCAUGGCAAAUAAGAACACCGAUGCUAUGUUAAAAUACUAACGAUUGCAACAUGUGAUCAUGUCAUGUCGAUUUGUCUUGUUCGCUAUUGUCUUGUAUCGAGUCUCUAUCUCGUUUUGUCGUUAUAAUGUUAUCUCGAGUUGUCAUCGUUGUCUAAAUGAUGAAAACAUCGACGAGUAGCUGCUUUGUUGUCGUCAGUUUCACGUUCUAAGAUGAGAACGCUUUGUAUUCGCUAUAUCGUAGUUACCUGUAGGCUUGGACACAAUUACAAUCAGUCCCGAAGUAUUAACAUGUCAAGUCGUGACGUCGCUUUGCGUCAUAUUCGUAAAGCCCCUUGUAGAUGUCUUCUGACAUGUGUAAGAUGUCGUAUAUAAUCUUAUCAUUGUUAGCUGCAUAUUCUCAGGUGUCCGUGACUUGAAAUUGGUUCAUGUGACCCCUUAAUUGGGAGUGAUUAUGACGUAAUGGAUAGGAGUACCAACACGUGAAGUGUUUUGUAGUAUGUCUUCCGUUCGUAAUAUAUAACUUGUAGACAUGAUGUGUAUCUCGUCAUCAUGACGUGAUAUGUAGAAAUCGUGCCACGUCAGACGUCAAUGCAAUCUGUCAUGACUCGUGUAAGUGAUGACAUGUAGAAAUGUGUAUUGUGAUUUAUGUGUCCGACCAAGGGUCGUGACUUGCGUGAUUUUGUGGAGUUUUCAUCGACAUGUAUGUUAAAUACGUCAAUGUAUUUUAACUUGUAAUAUCCGUAAUUGUAGUCGUUAAAUUUAUUUUUUAUAACGUUGGUGCACGUAGUAUAUGUAUUCGACAAAUAUAUAUAUAUUCAAUGAAUAUAUAAUUUUCAGACGUUGAUGCAUGUAGUAUAUGUAUUCGACAAAUAUUUAAUUUUCAAACGUUGAUGUAUUCGACAAAUAUGUUUAUUUUCAAACGUCGAUGCAUGCAUUCGUAGGCUAGUUAAAAGGCCUUUCCCUCUUGAAACUUAGCUCGUAAUUGUAAUUGUGAUUAUGUAAUGUUUAAAUACAUAAUAUUGAAAUGCGUCAUUAUUCGUGGCGUCGUAAGUUAUUUGUGUAAUGUGUAGUGUUGUCGUCACCAUCAUUCGAUAAUGAUCAACCGUAGUAGGAUAGGUGAUCAGCCCUCCUUGUCUAUUAAUAUGUAUCUAAAAUAUACUCAUGCAAUAUCAUGUCACAAUAAAUAUCAUGAUGAAGACGUCAACUUUAAGCAGUUAAACAUGGACAAUUUAGAAUAACUUGCAUAACGUAUUUCAACACACAUAUCUAUCAGGUAGAGUAGCAAGUCAUGUAAGAAACAAGCACAUGUGUCAUUAUGAUUAGAUCAUCAAUUAUUCAAGCAAACAUUCAUUGGAAGCAUGAAAUAUCAUUUAAAUAGCAUAAGCCCAAGUAAAGAUCGUAAUCAACUUAUUAUCAUAUUGCUAAAGACUAAGAGAAUAAAGAGGAUGAGUUCACUUACAUGUGAUAAAGUUCCAAAAGUAACAUGUUCGAGCCCCUGGGGACUUGUAGUUCGUAAUGUCUUGUUGAAUCAGGUUGAAGUCGUCGGACACUUCCAAAGGCGUCAAUGAUUCAUGUCCCGUCAUGAUGUUGAUUGUCAUGUCAGUUUACGGAUAUGUGCAUAAGUUGAUGAGGUUGUACCCCUUUCUGGGUAUAUGUCUUGUACCUCGUUCGCCUUGUCAUCAAGCUGACCUUAAUUAAGUUUUUUGGACUUGUCGAUAGUCCAUUUUUGAUUCUUUCUUCUAGUUUAUCUUUCGUGGUCAUGUCAUGUCUUUUUACUUCACAUCAUGUUGAACCAGUGAUGUCGAUACCCUUGUGGCGAUUUUAGGACAAGUCCCAAUCAUCUCCUGUUGAGAUAGUAGAUUUGGACUGAAAUCAGCCACAAAAUUAGCAAAAUAUGUGACUCGAUCGUUGUUUGUGACUCAUAGGUGAUAAUGUAUUCGACAUGAUCUGUCAUGUUUCUAAAGUUCAUGUCUAGCUGUCACGUCGAUCAUCAUGUCAAGACUUCAUGUCCAACUGUCACGUUGUUAUUUUUACACUGUCACCAUGUUUGCUAGUCAUUCUGGACACUCGACUUCAUGUAUGAUGUCCCUUUUGAUUUAGUUGUUUGCUUUUCGUGUGAUUAUCAUAAUGCUGUUUGAUUUCCAUUUGACAUGUAUGCGGUUUGAGUUGUCAUCAUUUAACUUGUGUAUGUUCAUGUCGAGGCUGCUACCCAUCGUCUCGUCGUGAUCCCAAGCGAAGGUGUUCAUUCUUUCUGUCAAAAAAUCAAUUAUGUCGGUCUCUCUCUUUGGUGUCACGUCAUGUCCUCUUGUGGUGUUGUUUUUUGUCGUUUAGAUGUCAUCCAUGUCUUGUUGGUCGUGUUGUGUCACGUGUGAUUUACUAGUUCCCGUCAGACGUGAUGAGAUUAGUGUAACUUGUUCAUGUCAAUCUAGUCGUACAUGUCAUGGUCGUUUGUGGUCACUUCAAUUCAACCAACCCGUCGGACAGCCCCAUGUUUGUAACCAGAAAUCUUCUCGCCAUGUCAACCAAAGUGAUGUGAUAUAGAAAAUCAGUGUAUCCAUGACGCCUAUCUCUUGUAGCCCCUUUUGAACCGAUUAAUAUGCGCGUCGACGUGAACUCCAUUGCCAUAGAAAUCAUGUAAGUGCUUCGCUAGUUUCCCACAGACGGCGCCAAUUGUUUUUACCAAAAUUUGCGGGUUAAAAGCCAAGCCUAUUUAAUUUCUAUAACAAUGGAGUAUGUGUUUUUAUGUAUGAAUAUUUAGUAGAUCGUAUAGAUAAAUAUCGAAAAGAAAAUCAAAGGCAAGAACACAAACAAUUUUGGUGACGCGGAAAACCCCUUGUAAAAGGUUAAAAACCGCGGGUGGGAAUGUCCCAGCCAAAUAUCCACUAUAAUGAUGUAACAUCAGCUUACAAGUAUGAGAAAUACAUGAUACAAGUACAUAAAUACGCAGACGUCGGCUUCAGAAGUAGUUCAUGUCCGUCAGCAAUAUGCACCCGUCGGCAGCAGGUUAACCUUGACGUUGCACCCGUCGGCAGAAUGAUUUCGGGGAGAUGAAGAUGUAGAGCUCCCUUGAUAGAAGAUGAAGAAGCUUAGCUAUCAUAUGUUAAUGUAUGUAUAUGUACGUGUACUGAUUUGUAUGAUCUUAAGCUUGGUUGAUGCUUUAUGAGUGAUAUGGGGUAGAAGAUGAAGUUGUGGGCAUGUAGAAGUGUGUAGAUGAUAUGUAUCAGUUAUGUACCUCUCUUUUUCAUGAGUAUUUAUACCCCCUCAACACUUAUGCACGUUCCUAGGUUGUUUCUCCACGUUCUCCACUUACUCCUAUAGUUUAGGGAUAAAGAAUAACCUCCUCCUAACUCUUAGGAUCGUUACAAGACUUAUUCUUCAUGCUGUUACGUUCAUGUCGAGUACCUUCACGUCAUGUCGAGUAUCUUCACGUCAUGUCUUAGCCAAGACGUCGAGCAUCAGCUUUGUGUGUAGCUUAAAUAUAUCUUUGGAGAAUGAUUAAUUAGCUUGUAAUUUGAUGAUAUAAUCACUCCCCUAACUCCCAUCAAGAUGUGGCUAUAUUGUAGGAUUAUGAUAAGGUAGUUAUUAUCCUUAUCUCCUAUUUUCCCUCCAUGUGCAUGUUGAGUUUCCUAAAUUAGUGUCACUUAUCCAUUCUCCAAUUUGAAUAAUCUCCUAAAAAGGUGGGUAGUUGAGACUUAGUCUCUUGCCCUAUCAGCCUGCACACGUCGUGUCGUCGGUACUUCAUGUCGUGUCAGUACACUUCCCGUCAUGUCCUGACGCCUGUAAAAUCUGGGUACAAACAAGGACCAAGCAGCGCCUUGAUUAUCGGUAGUUCCACUAUGAUUGAGGCCAAGUUUCUCGUUCAACCAACAUGAUAAAGUCACAAGCAGCUUUGCAAGCCAUGCAAUCUCAUCAUUGGAGACUGGUCGCUUCAACCAGUCACCCCUGUAUUUUGUACCAGUUUGCUUCUUGUUUCACAACAUUCUAGGACUAAAUAUCUCAUCACGUGGAUGCUGAUUUUCUCUUGUCUCAGGGACAGCAUGCGUGUUCCUUGAAGUAGAGUUACCAAAUAAGCAACCCAUCUGGGCUUUGAUAGAAUCUAAACAAGCCAUAUUGUGAGCAUGAUUAUCUCCCAAGACAGUCUGCAGCUCCGACUCAGCACGCAACACAAAGAGCUGCAAUAACAAUAUAACUAGUGAGUGAGACUUGAAAUUAGAAUGACACAAAUCCAUUCCUAGAAUUUAUAUAGUUCAUACAUAUAUAUUUAAGUACACUAUAUGCUAAAACUGUUGGAAUAAUCUUAAAUUUAAUUAUUAUUAAUAUUUGUUUAGUUAUAUAUUUUGAGGAUUAGUUUUAGAUUGAAGUAGUUGGAUGUUUGUUGUAGAGGUACAAGAAUUAAUACAAAUCAGUUUUAUAUUCUACACUUGGCAUUGGAGCCAGGUUCCGCCGCCAGGCGGUGGUGAAGCCGCCGCUAGUGGUGAAGGCGCAUAGUGAGUGUUUGACGAGAUAGUUUCAGGUAGGCGUUGCAGAAGGAUUGUGGCAAAGCUGCAUCUGCAUGUGUAGUAUGGGAUGCAUGUAUAGUAUGAGGCUGCCAAGAAAGACGAGGCGAUGCCUACUGAAGGCGGAAAAUAAGAUAGAGUGGAAGAAGGUCAUGCAGAACGAGAUGGAUCUUGCGUUUUUUAUCACGGAGUUGAGGGAGAACCUCUCCUUCAAAAUUAUGGGUGAUUAUAUGUACCUGGAGAGAAUUUUAGAAUUAUGGGUGAUUAUGUGUAUCUGGAGAAAAGUGCUCCAGUGAAUUUGGCGUUGAUGAGAAGUGCAUCAACAAAUUGGUGUUGAUGAGAAGUGCAUCGACAAAUCGGUGGUAGUGAGAAGUGCAUCACAUAUAGAGGUGGCAAUCGUUUUGUUUCGUAUACUUUCGUGUUUCGUGUACUCAAAGGUGAACCCGUAUCCGCCCGUUAUCAAUUUCGUGUACCAAAUUUGAAACCCGUAUCCGAUCCGAAACGUUUCGUGUAUUUUUCAUGUACUUUUCGUGUACAUUAUAUAUAAAAUUUUUAAUAUAUUUUUAAUCAAAAAAUAGCUUUAAUAUAUAUUUUUCUAUAUAAUUUACUAAAUAUGAAUGAUAUAUUUAUGCUCGCAUACAAUUAUCUACAAAUUUGUUAAUGUAUCUAUAAUAUGUAUCUACAUAUACAUAUACAUAUAUAUUUAUUUAACACAGUUAUAUAUAUAUAUAUAAUAUAUUAUACCAUAUAUAUAAUGAAAUCUAUGUAUAAAUAUUUCGUGUACUUUCGUGUACCCAAAAUGAAAACCCAUAUCCGACACGAAAUCUAUCGUGUAAUUUCGUGUUCGUGUACUUUCGUGUUUCGUGUAUCAAAAAUCAAAACUCAUAUCCAUUUUUUUCGUGUCGUUUCAUUUCGUGUUAGCGUGUUACGUGUCAAAUUGCCAGGCCUAAUCACAUAUGAAGAGAAGUGCUUCAUAAACUCUCUUAAGUAAAUUUAAGAUUAUGGGGUGAUUGUUGGAAUAAUCUUAGAGGGGUGUAUUGGAUUGAGAUUUUAAAGCCUUUUUUUGCAUUCAUGAAAUCCGAGGGUAUUGGAUUGGGAUUGUUUGAAAUCAAUUAAAAUCUUGAGGUAUUCAAUUGGUAUUUUAAAUUAUACUACAAAAUCCGGUGGUAUUCAAUUGGGAAUUAAAAUUAUGCUUUAAAAUCCGAUGGUAUUCAAUUGGGAUUGUUUAAAAUCCAUUAAAAUCUGAGGGCAUUCAAAUGUUGAUGGAUUUUUUUGCAUUUCAUAAAAUGAUGGAUUUUGUGGCAUUCUUCAGUGUAUUUUAAGUUUUUUGAAAUCCCACCAAAAUCAAUGGGAUUUUGAAGCAUAUUUGUGCUUAAAUCCUAUAAACUCUGCGACAUAUUAUCAAAAAUCCGCACAAAAUCAAAAUCCAUUAAAAUCCAUAAACUAAAAACAAUCCAUUAAAAUCCCAAUCGAAUACAUCCCUAUUAAUUUACUUAUUAUUAUUAUUUGUUUAGUUAUAUAUUUUGAGUAUUAGUUAGAUUGAAGUAGUUGGAAGUUUGUUGGAGUCCUAGAGAAUUUGUAAGAGGUAUUGAGUCUAUUUGAGUCUAUCAUGUUUUAGGAGAUUUAUUAGAAGUAGUAGAGUAUUUAUGAAAUCUCUUUUUUAGAGGUACAAGAAUUAAUACAAAUCAAUUUUAUAUUCUUACAAAAAGAAGAGAGGUGGAAAUAAACCUAUAGCAGCCGUUGUCCGCCAUCAUCACCAUCACUAAAUAACUGCAAAUCUUUGUUCCAAUUCUCAUGCAAGAAAGAGCCAUCAGCGUCAUUUUCACACAAUCCAUCCUCCCAGUCCUUGUAAAGCAAAAAAGAACAAGGGAUUUACAUAUAAACCUCUGAAAAAGAGUUGAAGAAUGCGCACGCGCACACACACAAAAGAGAUGUUGAACACUUUUAGCCGAGUCCAUGUAAUAUAGAUUCCCCAUACGUAAGCUUACCAGAUGUAUCCCCAUGAGCAACCAUAAAUUAAAAGAAGCUCAAAGAAAAUAAUUAGCUUUUUGUUGUGGUUCAUUCAGAUGUAUCCAUCAAGCAUUUUCCAGGACCACUGAAGCAAUCUAUGCAAAACCAUGGUUGAACAUCACUAACUACACAAGUAGCCUUCCUCUUGUGUUCUGCUUAUCCAGGUAAAAAAGAAAAGACUACAUGUCUUUUUUUGCUAGCAUGUCUUAAAAUGUACUAUUAUAUAAUUUUCUUAGUUUUUUAAUAAUUUCACCCAUCUAUAAAAGUAUAAACAGAGGACAAGAACAUAUAUCACACCUUUUGUGCUUCUUUACACCUCAACAGAGAACCAAGCAGGGCCUUGAUUAUCGGUGGUUCCACUACGAUUCAGGCCAAGUUUCUCAUGAUAAAGUCAAGGAGCUUUGCUGCUUUGCAAGCCAUUCCAUCUCCUUAGCGGAGACCGGCCACUAUUGUCCGGGCAUGUGUGGGUGAACUUAAUUUGAAAUAUAAUCAUUUAUUUUGACAACAAUUUCACAUUCACAUACUAUUAAAUAAUAUUAAGUGUUUAGAGGACAUUUAGCAGAAAAUACACAUUUACAUACUUUCUCUUCCAGAUAUAAGUAAUUUAUUUCAAAAUACAAAAUAAGUUAAACGCCCAAGAUGUUUGAAUCAGUGAAUUACGCAAAUAUUUAAGAAUGAGAAAUCAUGGAGUAUGUUAUAAUACUCAAGUGCUUGUUACAUUCAACAUUUUACGGGAAAAAAGUAAAUUAAAUAUUUGCAAGAGAAUUAAUAGCAAAAAACGGAGCAAAUGUGUUCCAAAUUUUAAUUUUAAUAAAGCAAGUAAUGCUAUUGUAUUAGUUCUGGAAACAAAACGUAAUUUUCUCAUGAUGCAGACGCAGCAAACCGAUGAUUCCAAGUGUCUGUUAGCAGAAGGGGAGAGUGAAGAAGAAUAGAGAGUAUAAAGUCAUUUGGUUUGCUAUGAGGAGGUCAUUCAGGAAGCGGAACCAAGAGCGGUGAUGUUUGCAGAAACACAAGAGAAAGACUUCAAAUGGCAUCUUGAAAAGGAAUGAGAGCAGGCAAUUGCAGCAAACACAGCAACGACAACAAAAGUAAUCAAGGAAGAUGAGUAGGAUAGUCUUGUGAAACUGAGCUCCUGAAUUUCUGUUCUGCUUAGGAUUUUCGACAUAAUAAAGGUAUGAAUAGUAAUUACAAAAUUGAAAUAAUUGAACCAUAAUAUCAAACACAGAAGGGAAAAAAAUGGUUUUAAUAUGAACACUAAUCGGCUCAAUCAAUUUGAUUACUAAAUUGACUAAGUGCUGCUUUAAACGGGUGCCCAAGACAAUAGUGAUGAAAAAGAUUAAAGUCAAUAAUUAGUGACGAAAAAGAUAUAAAGAACUUGCUUGGCCAGUACUUAAAGUCCUGGACAUUAUAAUCAUGUGGUGUAAUCACAUGGUUUAAUGAAUUAUUGUUGAAUUUGCAACCAAAGAAUCAUGAAAAUGGUUAAAGACUGUCUCAGAGUCAUAUACAGUGGCUCCAUUAUAGUUUAAUUAAUAUACUUUGGCAAAGGGCAAUACUGGACAGCAAUAGAGAAUAUAAAGUGAUCACUCCUCACUUCCCUAUUCUUUGACUGACCUCCAAAUUACACUUUGUUAUACAAAUUUGUCCACUAAUUUCACAAUGAUCGUAUCAGGAACGAGUUCAAGUAUAUCAGAAGUAUAUUCUAGGUCUAAGCAAAAAUGUUUUAACACAAGUUUGUUCAAUUAACAGUCAUAAGCUGUAAGAUCAAUAAUAGGCUGAAUGCAAAUGCUAUUUAACAAAAACGUUACCAACAUCGCAUUGCAACAACAAAUAACACCGAUAAAAGACCGAAAACAAAUACAAUCCACCAAAAUAAGACCAGCUUCGCAUUGCAAGGUCAUGGAAUUUGAACUUAAGAUUCUAUAUGUUAUGUUUUAAGUCUGAACUCAAGUUUUGCCUAUAUCAGAUCAUAUUCCAAACUCAACUAAUGUGGGAGACUUGUGUAAUGAGUGCAACUGACCUUUUGCAACAAACAAGCACAUCAGUUCAAACUCUCCGACUAGCGUUUUCUUUUUAAAAUAAAAAGAAAACAGCAAUAGUUAUAAUCUCUCCAUUAAAGAUGACAAGUUCUGCAACUUUCGAAAUUAUUUAAUAACAUCACAUAGAAAAUCUACUCACUUCCCUAUUCUUCGACCGACUUCCCCAUGUGCCACAGAACCCAUAGCACAAGUACCGGAUCAUAUUAUUUUUAGCUUGUCCAGAUUUGGGUCCGGGAUCGUUUUAUUCGGAUCUAAACCGAUCCCGGGUAUUUGGGAUUCGGAUCUGAACCGGAUAUGAUCCAAUAUCGUAUUUUCUAUUUUUUAACCGGGUAGUUUAUGAUCCAUCGAAUAUGAGCCGGAUAUGAUCCACUUACACUAAGUAUCAUUAUUAUUUCAGUUGUUCAAAUAACUAUCAUUAGUCUAAGUAAACAUAAUAUUAUAAAGUAUAAUAAUUUUAAAUUAAAGCUUAUGGUUAUAUAUUGAUAUAUAUCAUUUAUUAAAUAUAUAUGAAGAUAAUAAGUAUGAUCACAUUAAAUAAAUCAUAUUUUAUGAAGAUAUAAACUUAAAUAAGAUAUUAAAAUUUUAUAAAAUGAUAACUAUUUACUUGCAAAUAUGAUGGUGUUAAAAUAUAAUAUGUAUAUGAGUUUGAAUCGAAUAUGAACCGCGGAUCAUAUUCGGUUAUUCGGGUAGGAUAAUAUUAUGAAAAGUUAUAUGAGCCCGAAUCUGAGCGGGUAUAGGUGUGCUCGUAUCCGGGAUCAUAUAUUAUACGGGCUUAAUUUUUCCGCCAGAUUUGGAUCGUUUUCAAAACGAAUAUGAGACAUGUAUCAUAUUUUCGAGCCGGAUAUGAGCCGAGACACCGGAUAGUCCGUAUCGAUUUACAGCCCUAGCAACAUCAUAAACAAAUGCAACUGUACAGUAACAUGGAGAAUCCAAUGUGCUGAAGACACCAAUACAUUUGAGCCUUAUCAAAUUUAUUACUCCCUCAUCCCAUUUUUAACUGUACUUUAUAUAGACUUGUUUGGUUUCUGCUGAAAAAAAAGUUGAACGAAUUAAUAUGGCUGAAGCAAUUGUGUCGAUUGUUAUGGGAAGGCUCGCUGAUUUAUUGAUUGAAAAACCUCAAAUCCUUAAUGAAGUGAGCGAUGAAAUUCAACUAGCUGUGACCGAGCUCAUGCGGAUAAAGACAUUCUUACCAGAUGCUGAUUCAAGGAUGGAUGUAGAAAGAAUCCGGAUUUUGCUCCGGGAUGUACGAGAGCUUGCCUAUGAUGCUGAACAUGCUGUCGAAACUUUUGUUAUUAAAGCCUCAUCGACUAAAAAACCAUUUCAGUGGAUGAACAGAGGCAAGUUUUCAAGGAAGAUGAAAGAUAUACAAAAAAAGAUGUCCAUCUUCUUCGAUUUGUUUUCUGAUUAUAAUAUCAGACCAACUUCUGAAUCAUCAACUUCCUCCAACAGAGAAUCGGGAAAACUAAAGCGAUUUCACUCUUUCACUACUCCUGAACCAGAGAUAUUUGUUGGAUUUCAUGACGACGUUGAAUGCUUGGUGCGACAUUUGGUGAAUGAAUCUGAUGAUUCUUACCCACUUAUAUCUAUUUGUGGAAUGGGGGGUCUGGGAAAGACCACUCUAGCUCAAAAGAUAUACAAUCACUCCGCCAUCAAGACUCACUUUGCUGGUUUAGCAUGGGUAUCAAUCUCGCGAAAGUGGCAAACAGAUCGGGUGUUGCAGAGAAUUCUUAUAUGUCUCGUCCCUGAGAACAAAAACUCUAUCCUUAAUAUGGAGACUGACAAGCUAGUGGAGUAUAUGCUACAAAUCCAGGAAAGGAAAAAAUGCUUGAUAGUCCUCGAUGACAUAUGGUCAACACAUGAUUGGAAUGCAUUAAAAGCUGCAUUUCCAGCCGGGAAGUCCAUAAGCAGAUUAAUGCUUACAAGCCGUAAUGCUGAGGUUGCUGACUAUGUGAAUUUAAACGGAUACAUUCACAAGCCAAAAUGUCUAAGUCCAGAACAAAGUUGGGAGCUACUCAAGUUAAAAGCACUUCACACAGGAAAUUGUCUAGGUACAUAAUUUUGGUUGUGUUAAUUAUAUUUCAUAUGCUUUUUCUUUACCAUAUCUUUUGUUUGACAACCUUAACUAACUGUAUUUUUUGUUACCUAAGUUCCAUAAAUUUGGGAAGAAAUCUGUCCAGCAACCUAAAAGAACAUUGUUCUGUUCCAUAACAUAUCGUUCAUGUUCGUUUACAAACCUAUGUAUUAGAAUUGUAAACGAAUCUAACAGUUCAUUAAGUGCCCUCUUGAGGUUUGAGUUAACGAACUUGAGUUCGAACCACAUAUUUUGUUUAAUAACCUUAACAAACAUUAUGGGGUUCAGUAAUUUUAGCUCGUGUUAACUUCAAGUUUAUCCGAGUUAAGUUCGUCGAUGGCUCUAACUUGAAUGUGUCUUUUAAACAUUUGCACUAGUUAAAGAAUUAGAAAUUAUCUUGGCUUGUGUGUAUACACACAGACACACAUAUGAAUCCCGUUUGUUGUGUGUUGCAGACAUUACCAGAGAUGUAAAGAGGAUGGAAGAACUGGGAAGGGAAAUGGUUGAACAUUGUGCCGGUCUUCCGCUAGCUAUAGUCGUCUUGGGUGGAAUUCUUGUAACAAAACCAUCGUUGAUAGAGUGGGAGAAGGUAUAUCGUGAUAGUAAAUCAUCCCUGAAGGCGGGGAAAGGACUGGGAGAAGCCUAUCAAAGGGAAAUAUUAAGUUUUUUAAUAUGGAGCUACAAUGAUUUACCGCCUCAGCUGAAGCCAUGCUUUCUAUAUUUAUCUAAGUUUAGUGAAGAUGAAUCGAUAGACAUAGAGACUUUGUAUCAGCUAUGGAUCGCAGAAGGAAUGAUACUCUCGAGUGACAAAAGGGAAGGAGAAACAAUGAUACAAGUGGCUGAAUCAUACAUGGGAGAACUAGUCCACAGGAAUAUGGUUCAAGUGAGAUUUAACGAUGUAGAAUCAUCGCUUACAAAGUUUGAAUCUUGUUCUCUGCACGAUCUUAUGAGAGACAUGUCUUUAAUACAAGCAAAAGCAGAAGAUUUUUUUGAAGUAAUACAUUUCCAAAGUGGAAAUGAGUUUCAUCUCAAAUCUACUACAGAGUCAAGGUCAGCUUCCACUCGAGUUGUGAUUCGUUUGGAUGAGGAAUAUUCUAGCAAAGAAGCUAAUUACUACUUUACCAAGAAACGCAAUCAAAAAUGCUAUCGAUCAAUUUUACUCCUCUGUGAGUUUGGGGCGAGAAGUCUGCCACGGGCCCUGGGGUUACAUUUUGCCAAUUUUAGGUUCCUAAAAGUCUUUUCUGUGGAGAAUUAUACCAAUUUUUCUGGUGCAUUUUCUCAUUUUAAUGUUGGAAGAGCAUUAGGGUCCCUUGUUUACUUGCGAUAUCUUAGUGUAAGGGGCAGUAAUUUGUCGGUUUUUCCAUCUCUACAAAAGUUGGUGCUAUUACAAACUCUAAAAUUGGAUAUAUCCGACAAGAUAUAUGUUUUACCAUGGCUGUCAAGAGAUGUUCUGGUGAAGAUGGAUUGUUUGCGGCAUCUGUAUUUGCCGAAAUUUAAAGUUGACGUUUUGGGAAGGAAAUCGAAAUUACGGUUUAAUGGGUUGAGCAAGUUAGAGACCCUGGAGAACUUUGACACUAGUUGGUGUGAGGUUAAGGAUCUACGUGAGCUAAUCAAUCUUCGGAAACUAACGGUAACAGUGAGGGGUAGCUGUGAUAUUCUGGAAGAAAUGAUGAAAAACUUGGAUGAUGUAGCCUCCUCAGCAUCUUCAUGUCUGAGGUUCUUGGGUGUCACUAUUGUUUAUUGUGAUAUUGAGCUGAACAAUGAUCUUACGAUCUUAAAACAAUUGGUAUAUGCCGAAAAUUUGAACCUUCGGGAAUUGAAAAUAUAUGGGUGUAUCCCAGAGGUGGGUCUAAUAUUUCCGCUGCAUGUAUCCACAAUUUGUAUUACAACUUUAAAUUUAGGGGAAUCAUACCUGGAAGAAGACCCAAUGCCAAUAUUAGAAAUGCUUCCAGUGUUGAGUGUUCUCCGAAUGUAUAGGGAUACAUAUGUGGGGAAGGAGAUGGUGUGCUCCGCAACCGGUUUUCCUAAACUCACCGUUCUUAUUUUGCACGAGUUCACAAACCUUGAAAAAUGGAGGGUGGAGGAAGGAAGCAUGCCCAUCCUUUCAUACUUGAUUAUUGCAAGUUGUAACAAGUUGGAGGAGUUUCCCGGAGGCCUUGUGUUCCUCAAGUCCCUUCAAAUAAGUCAAAUGCCUCAAGAUUUCAAUGAUAGGCUUAAAAGGCAAGAUGGUGAAGAAGGACCCGACUUUCACAAAAUUUCUCAUGUCGGUAGACUCAUUAUUGAUGAUCAGGGCUACAUUUGAAUGUUCUUGUAAGUUAGGUAUAAAGUAUUGUUUUGGUCGUGAAGAACAUAUUGCUUGAGAACUUAUUUGAUCAUUUGCUUCUCAUUAAUAUUAUAUGAUCAAUUUAUUUUCCAUUAAAAUUAAUACUUUUACUGUUGAAAAUAAUUUUAAUUAAUAAGCAAAAAUUUAAAACAUAAAUUACAAAAUUAUACUUUAUAAAAAUAUUAAAGGGUUUGCCGAUUCACGUCCCCAACAUAUAUUAUUCAGGACGAUGGAGAGCGUAAUAAUUAAAUAAGUUCAAUAACCGGAUUUUGGACUAUAUAUUUUAGUAUCUUAAUGUUCGGUUAUUUUAUGAUGGUUAUUAAUAUGAGUAAAGAUUUGUAUAAAUUUAUAUUUAAAAAUUUAUGCAACAUGAAGUUAAAUAAAUUAUUUUAAUAAAUAAAUAUAGAUCAUCAUCAUCAUCAUGAUUAUUUUUUAUAUUUUUGGAACAAUUAUAAUAGUAGGAUUCUUAAACAAUUAUUUAAAAAUUAAACAUUUUAUGUUGAACUCUUAUCCUUUAAAAUAAAAAAAAAAUCACUACUUUUUUCAACGAAAAAAAUGUAUGUGUUGAAUUACAUUUGGUUGCAAACUCAAUCUUUUUUCUUAAGAAUUUUACAAAGAAAGUAAAUCACCUAAAAGGACUUUAAACAUAUGACAAAAAAGACUCUAAACAUGUGUUUAGAGUUUUAUUCAGAACAAACUAUUAGUUUCCAAUUACGAUCAUCAGUGAUCAGACUACUUAAAAGAACUACUCUUUUCAGACUAUUGCAAUUACGAUCAUCAUACUACUGAAAGAACUGCUACUUUAGAAAAAGGCUCAGCAUCCUCAGGUUCAUGUUCACACCAUAUUCUUUUGUGAACUAGGGGCACAAUUUUCAUCAUUUUCUUUGUCUUACAAGCCAUGCAAUCUAGUCAUUUGAAAUUGAUCACUUUAAAGACCAUCCUUGUGUCUCGUUCAUUUUUCUUGAGGUGAACAAGAGUUAAACAAAUUCGGAAGCGAUAAAUAUAACAGUCUUCUAACAGAAAAUCGAUUUAUGAUAAUUUUAGACUGCAGAAAAAGAGAGGAAAUAAUAUUUCACUGACCAAUAUGUAAUAUGUUUUCAUGCGAUUGCGGCCAACACAACAGAGCACAUUGUUUCCCACAUGUUGCAACAAAACACCAAAACUAGGAGACUUCUAACUCUUGACUCCACCCAUUGUUCAAACUUUUUCUUUGUGAUCUUCUCUUUUUUAUAAUAAAACACUUUUGGUUUUUUUUUUUUCUUUAUGGUUAAACUACAAUAUAUACAGCGUUUAGGACUGGGAAACUGCUUUCUUCAAGACGCUGAAGGCAACGAGCAUAAGCAGUGAUAUCAUAAUCUUCUUUGAAGCAAGAAUCCGCAAGUUCACCUUCAUGCCAUGGUCUCUCAUGAGCUUCACCGUUGCCCUAAUUACUGAAAUAAGCCAGAAUACAACGGACAAGAACACCAAUUUCAUUGUGUCUGCAGGUCCAUUCACAGUUCUUGUGCCUCCCGACACCUCGACAUAGGACCAAGCAGCGCCUUGAUUAUCGGUGGUUCCACUAUGAU
rnacentral:lncRNA from 1 species